ensembl:lncRNA
GCCUGGUGGAGCCCCUUCACACCACAACAGACCUUGUAACUAGUGGGAUCCAGAAAGGCAUACAGAGAGCAUGGCUGGACAGCAGCAGGAUGGUCCCUCAACUUCCACUGCACAGAUUGACACAGUGAGAUGGAUGUUCAGUAAACACCAGAGGUUCAGUCCAUGGAAUUCAUGUGCAACUGUAUAAUUUAAUGUCCUUUAUGUAUUCCCAGUUACCAGUAAAACAAAUAUACAAAAUCCACUUGCUGAGAAAAAUACAAAAAACAGAUAAAGAAAUGCAGUACUUGGACCGCCAGAUUAAGAAGGCAGAUCUGGAAAUUGAAAUACUGGAGCACAAGUUAGAGGUGGGUGCAGGCCACAGGUGAAUUAUGUUAACUACUGGAACAUGAACUAAACUAGCUCUUUUAUUU